rnacentral:rRNA from 1 species
UACGUAGGGCGCGAGCGUUGUCCGGAAUUAUUGGGCGUAAAGAGCUUGUAGGCGGUUUGUCGCGUCUGCUGUGAAAGCCCGGGGCUUAACCCCGGGUUUGCAGUGGGUACGGGCAGACUAGAGUGCAGUAGGGGAGACUGGAAUUCCUGGUGUAGCGGUGAAAUGCGCAGAUAUCAGGAGGAACACCAAUGGCGAAGGCAGGUCUCUGGGCUGUAACUGACGCUGAGAAGCGAAAGCAUGGGGAGCAAACAGG